rnacentral:rRNA from 1 species
UCCCAUCCCGAACUCGACCGUCAAAUCCCUCCGCGCCAAUGGUACUAAGUCUCAAGACUUGGGAGAGUAGGUCACUGCAAGGU